rnacentral:rRNA from 1 species
UACGGAGGGUGCGAGCGUUGUCCGGAAUCACUGGGCGUAAAGAGCUCGUAGGCGGCCAGUUGCGUCCGCUGUGAAAUCCCGGGGCUUAACCCCGGGCGUGCAGUGGAUACGGGCUGGCUGGAGGCAGGCAGGGGAGAACGGAAUUCCUGGUGUAGCGGUGAAAUGCGCAGAUAUCAGGAGGAACACCGGUGGCGAAGGCGGUUCUCUGGGCCUGUACUGACGCUGAGGAGCGAAAGCGUGGGGAGCGAACAGG